UUUUUUUCUUUUUUUUUUUGACAGGAUCUCACUCUGUUGCCCAGGCUGGAGUGCAGUGGCACGAUCUUGGCUCACUGCAGCCUGGACUUGCUGGGCGCGGUGGCUAACAUCUCUAAUCCCAACACUUUGGGAGGCCAAGGCAGGAGGAUCACUUGAGCCCAGGAGUGUGAGGCUGCAGUGAGCUAUGACUGUGCCACAGUACUCCAGCCUGGAUGAAUGAGUGAGACCUUGUCUCACUCAAAGAAAAGAAAAGUAAAAAGAGAAGACAAUCCUCAUGCCAUCCCUCUUUGGCAAAACCUGGACUGUUAGAGAGAAUUCCCAGAAGGCCUAACUUAGUAUGGCCCCAGAUCAAUGUAGAACUGAACAUGAUCUCUCCUUUGAAACACCCCUCCUGAGGCUACCCUGGUCAAGGUUCAAGGCUCACCCCUAAAGAGAACUUACCCCUGUGGUUGGCUCUAGGCGAAAUCACACCUUCCAUAUAUUACGGAACUUCAGAGAACAGGGAUUCAUUCAGCCCUCCUACAUACCUUUUGAUUUAGGAAGGCUUUCAGUGAAUGAUUAUCCAAAUUUGUACUAUACAAAUGGAAACAUUUAAAAUUUUAUAAAAUCUGUAUGAAGUCGGAAUGUUGAUAUGGUGAACAUGAUAUUUGCAUCUCUGGAUGUGCUGCCUUUGUCAGUUCUGCCUAUGUGCGAGGGGUUGCUUGCAUGCAGUGCUAAUGCUACACAAUGCAGAUAUAGGUUUGAUUUGGAGGAGAAUUCAUAAGCAGCCAUGUAGCAGUACGCACACAAUCCCUUGAACUCUCAACCUGCAUCCUAGGCUAGGCAUGGAUAUCUGUAUGCACCAUAGCCACAGCUCUGGUAGAUAAAGCUCUACUAUUUAUAGGGUCAGUAGGCAGGGAGCAUCUAUGUGCUUGUGUAACAGUGGAGGCUCUCUGAUCAGGGAAGUGCCCUUAUUGGAGAAGGAAAGCCCCUGGAGCCCAGUGGUUGGUAUCAGCCUAUUUUUUUGUUCAUUUGUUUAGCUGAGCCAGCUUUCUGCUAAGCUAGCAAAAGAGGGAAGGAAAUGAGUCUCCGGAGCCACCCAGAUUUGUCUCUUGCUAACCACAGGUUAACUGUUCUCUUUACCUGAUUGUAAGCAAUUUGGGAGGAAAGACAAAAUUGUAUAGAUCUUUGCAACUCCCAUGGUGUCCUACCUGUAGUUGAAUGCUUAGUACGUACUUGUUGACUGAGCAAAUGAUAUAAUAGACUUCAAUCAAUGCUGAAUGACUACUGUAAUAAAAAAUAAAUAUUAAUAUAUGCUUUGUGGCAACUUGAAAGCAUGGGCAAUGCCUUCAUAAUGGCCAACUACAUAUUUUGGCAGAUAACAAACCAGUACAUAUGGUUGAGGGUGGCUGUUGUAUCUUAAUGUGGAACUCAGUAGCACCCUUUUCCCCCCCAGCCUUUUUCACUUUUGUUUCAAAACAUUUGUUUCUGCCAUAUUGAGAGGGGGAGUUAAGAUAAAAGACCUCCUUUAGUUGUCAGUGCAUUGGGGUUUCCAGCCAACUUUCUCUUUAAUGCCUUUCUAGUAGUGCAUAGCCAAAGCAUAUGGAAGGAGAAGUUUAGGGGUAAACUACAGUGUUCAUUUCAGAAAUGUUCUUUUUUUUUUUUUUUUUUGAGACAGUGUCUCACUUUGUCGCCUAGGCUGGAGUGCAGUGGUGCAAUCUCAGCUCACUGCACUUCCACCUCCUGGGUUCAAGCAAUUCUCCUGCCUCAGCCUCCCAAGUAGUUGGGAUUACAGGCACCUGCCACCAUGCCUUGCUAAUUUUGUAUUUUUAGUAGAGAUGGGGUUUCACCAUGUUGGCCAGGCUGGUCUCGAACUCCUGACCUCAGGUGAUCCACCUGCCUCAGCCUCCCAAAGUGCUGAGAUUACAGGCAUGAGCCACUGCACCUGGCCAGAAAUCUUGUGUAUAUCUGGUAUUCAUCAUCAUCCUCACUGUAGCAAAUAUAUUUUUAAACAUUUACUGGGUCUGCCCUGUGCGGAGCUCUUUAUGUGGAUUGCCUUACUUAGUCCACAAUCCUGUGUGGCAGUACGCUUUAUUAACCCACAUGUCUAGACCCGAGCUCACCUUGGGAAGAGUCCUUCCAGGUGUUUGUUUUCUAUUCCUUAUACUCCAGAACCUGUCUUAUAUAGGGAUUAUACUAAGAGCCAAACAGGUUUUGCUUGAGUUUUCCCGGUGCCUUCCAAAUUGGCAGUCAUCUUUUUAUCCAUUAUGAUUUCAGUCUUUCAUAGCAGGGAUAUGAUAUUCAAGGGGCAUAUGACCCAAACUCAGUUUAUACAUAUUGUUUAACAUUGUAUUAAUACCCCCACAUCCUAGCUGCCUUCUUAUUGAAGCAUUUGUUUUAAAGGAAAGCUAUAUUUGUUUGGUUGGUAAAUAGUUUCUUGUUAAUGAGAAAAACACAAACAUGUUUCUAAAUAUAUCCAUUUAAUUUUG
rnacentral:lncRNA from 1 species